rnacentral:tRNA from 1 species
GGUCCGUUAGUCGAAGAAGACAUUAAGUUGCAGCCUUAAAGAAGCAAGAGGGAUUGCACGGAUCU